UGGUAGGUGGGAGUUAGAAUGCAUAUUGCAGGCUGUGGUGGAGCUGGAGGCAAAAUACUGUAUAGUUUACCUGUGGUCUGUGGCUGUCAGGGGAUGAAGGAGGAAAGACUCAGAGCAGCAACACGAUCCAUCACAUGGCCGGCCAGCAGCAGCCUAAACUUGUGCUGCUCUUCAGGUAGCUGUGUCCCCUGCGUAUCCUGGCUGGAGUGUUCCGUGCGGAUGUCCUUUCCUGGUUCCUGUUGUUUCUGCUGCUGCAUACUUUCAUCAUUCUCAGGCUCCUGCUGCUGCAGAUGGCUCAUCUCAUCUCCAGUAACCCGCAGAGCUGUACAAACAGAUCUUAUGGAGUCUCUGCGCAGCCCAGGACUUACUUAGCCGCUGCGAUCACAUCAGCCUGUCCGGGACCGGAAUUGAAGUCAGGAACCCUCCCUGCAAACACAUGGACACGCCUGCGUUUUCCAAACAAUCCCAGAAAACGGUCAGUUGCCACCGAUAAACACCUUCUUCCUGUCAAUCUCCUUGCGAACGCCCGUGCGAAUGGAUCCUUUGCACAAACUCAUGUCUGAGCGGCGAUCCGCUUUGUACCCGUGCGACACACCGGCGCAUUGUGGUGCAUACGCAUGCGCAGUUUAGACCUGAUCGCCUGCUGGGAGGCGUGGUAACACUAGUAGGGCAUGGCCAUGUUACAAGGGUAUGAAAAGCAAUUAGGUAGUGUUGGGAUGCCCUUCACCUAAAACACAGUGUCUUUAAGGGGAAUCAACUAGUGGGACAGCUACUAAAUUGUGACAAAUGGACUCGGAACGUGGGAUGACAUGGCAGUCCCCUCAAAAUGGGACUGGGCUGCCUAAAUCUGGACAGUGGGUGUUGAAGGUGGAGAGUGCUACCGCUCAGCCUCCAUAUUGCUCAUACAGGGAGGCUUCAUAUCCUGUACCAAGAUGGCAACCAACCUAAAUACUACACAUGUGCUGCGCCAUCUUGUCACUGUGUUAGAGUGUCACAGUUGUAGACAUUUGUCUUCCCCUUAGCACCAGAGAUAUUAAAUUUCAACGCAAUUGCCUGCAUUCCUGUAUUGCUAUCUGCUUCCACAAACACUCACCUGCUGGCGAACUGUAUGACACCCCAAUCUGCUCAAGCUCCACUCCUUCUCCUUUUUAACAGUGAGUACUGUAUGGCUGUACCUUCAA